rnacentral:rRNA from 1 species
UACGAAGGGUGCAAGCGUUACUCGGAAUUACUGGGCGUAAAGCGUGCGUAGGUGGUUUGUUAAGUCUGUUGUGAAAGCCCCGGGCUCAACCUGGGAAUGGCAAUGGAUACUGGCAAGCUAGAGUGCGGUAGAGGGUAGUGGAAUUCCCGGUGUAGUGGUGAAAUGCGUAGAGAUCGGGAGGAACACCUGUGGCGAAGGCGGCCCCCUGGGCCGGCCCUGACACUGAGACGCGAAGGCGUGGGGAGCGAACGGG